AUAUAAUAAUCAUUUAGAUAUAUAUAUGGGAUGUCGGUAGAAUCCUAACCGCCUCACCACAAAACGGAAUCAAUCUACAAGUUUCAGUGAAAUUACCUGAGCAGUCCGCCAACCUUCGCUCCUCUCAAAGGCUGACAUACCUCUCUUGAAAUAUCUUCUUAGACUGAAGUCGCUUGAGUCAUCAACCCCUACCACCAUCUCUCUAAUGGAGAGAAACAAUACCUUUUCCUAGAUUUUUCCAUCAAUCCCAAUAAUUCGCCCUAAUACGACACUCGAUCCAUCCUCCGAGUUAUAAUUUGUGAUAUAUUCUUCCACUAAUGACACAUUAAUUGCUGGUAAGCAAUCUGACUAGUGCAAAAACUAGAACAACUACGCAUUCCAAAAGUCUUUUAUUCUUCUUAGCAUCUAGCAGAUAUCUAACUUCAUUGGCUCCUUAAUGGUAAUGAUUAUUACAGAAGGUGGUUUCGAUGCACGUCUAGCUCUCACAUUUUGGCCACUGUCCUCUUUGCUUGUAGUUUGCUUUGCACUUUCAAUUACCAUGAUGCUUCCUCACUCAAACUUUUAACUAGAACUACUACUCUUGAAUACACAAGAAACACAAGAAAUAGCAAUCUAAAAAAAAACAACCCAAAACGACACCACAAAAUGACCUCUAACUGGUGCCCCAUUCCUAUUCUCUUACUACCUAGUGAUAAUGACAAUAUAUUAUCCAUAUUAUCCAUUUCUCACCUCCAUCCUAUUUGACAUAUUAAUAAUUACUAACUAUCUUUUCAGCCGCCUCUACACCCUAACGCACUUAUAUCAUAC
rnacentral:lncRNA from 1 species